GACGAACGCUGGCGGCGUGCUUAACACAUGCAAGUCGAACGGUAGGGCCCUUCGGGGUACACGAGUGGCGAACGGGUGAGUAACACGUGGGUGAUCUGCCCUGCACUUCGGGAUAAGCCUGGGAAACUGGGUCUAAUACCGGCUAGGACCACUGCCGGCAUGGGUGGUGGUGGAAAGCUUUUGCGGUGUGGGAUGGGCCCGCGGCCUAUCAGCUUGUUGGUGGGGUGAUGGCCUAGCAAGGCGACGACGGGUAGCCGGCCUGAGAGGGUGACCGGCCACACUGGGACUGAGAUACGGCCCAGACUCCUACGGGAGGCAGCAGUGGGGAAUAUUGCACAAUGGGCGCAAGCCUGAUGCAGCGACGCCGCGUGAGGGAUGACGGCCUUCGGGUUGUAAACCUCUUUCAGCACCGACGAAGCGCAAGUGACGGUAGGUGCAGAAGAAGGACCGGCCAACUACGUGCCAGCCGCCGCCGUAA
rnacentral:rRNA from 1 species